UGCCAGCCGCCGCGGUAAUACGGAGGGGGCUUGCGUUGUUCGGAAUCAUUGGGCGUAAAGAGUAUGUAGGCGGCUAUUUAAGUCAGACGUGUAAGCCCACGGCUCAACCGUGGAAUUGCGUUUGAAACUAUUUAGCUUGAGUUCGGGAGAGGGAAGCGGAAUUCCCAGUGUAGCGGUGAAAUGCAUUGAUAUUGGGAAGAACACCGGUGGCGAAGGCGGCUUUCUGGACCGAUACUGACGCUGAGACGCGAAAGCGUGGGGAGCAAACAGGAUUAGAUA
rnacentral:rRNA from 1 species